rnacentral:rRNA from 1 species
AGUGAACGCUGGCGGUAGGCCUAACACAUGCAAGUCGAACGGCAGCACAGUAAGAGCUUGCUCUUACGGGUGGCGAGUGGCGGACGGGUGAGGAAUACAUCGGAAUCUACUUUUUCGUGGGGGAUAACGUAGGGAAACUUACGCUAAUACCGCAUACGACCUACGGGUGAAAGCAGGGGAUCUUCGGACCUUGCGCGAUUGAAUGAGCCGAUGUCGGAUUAGCUAGUUGGCGGGGUAAAGGCCCACCAAGGCGACGAUCCGUAGCUGGUCUGAGAGGAUGAUCAGCCACACUGGAACUGAGACACGGUCCAGACUCCUACGGGAGGCAGCAGUGGGGAAUAUUGGACACUGGGCGCAAGCCUGAUCCAGCCAUACCGCGUGGGUGAAGAAGGCCUUCGGGUUGUAAAGCCCUUUUGUUGGGAAAGAAAAGCAGCAGGUUAAUACCCCGCUGUUCUGACGGUACCCAAAGAAUAAGCACCGGCUAACUUCGU